rnacentral:rRNA from 1 species
CAGUAGCCGCGGUAAUACGUAGGGUGCGAGCGUUAAUCGGAAUUACUGGGCGUAAAGCGUGCGCAGGCGGUUCGUUAAGACAGAUGUGAAAUCCCCGGGCUUAACCUGGGAACUGCAUUUGUGACUGACGGGCUAGAGUAUGGCAGAGGGGGGUAGAAUUCCACGUGUAGCAGUGAAAUGCGUAAAGAUGUGGAGGAAUACCGAUGGCGAAGGCAGCCCCCUGGGCCAAUACUGACGCUCAUGCACGAAAGCGUGGGGAGCAAACAGGAUUAGAGACCCGCGUAGUCCCUGUCUCUUAUAC